ensembl:lncRNA
GAGUGGAUUGCCAUUUUCCUCCUCCAGGGGAUCUUCCCAACACAGAGAUGGAACUCCCGUCUCCUGCGGUUUCUGCUUUGGCAAGUGAAUUGGUACCACCUGGGAAGCCCAUAGGGCUCUAGUAAAAUAUGACUGAAGACAAGAAAGAACAGUGCCAUGUAGCCAGUGAAGGAGACUUAUUUCUUCCUGUUUAAAGAAACAAGAAAUUUAGAAGACAACUUACUGCAUUUUUACUAUGAAGUGUUUUGUUUAAGAAAAUCAUGAACUGCAAUUGCAACAAAAGAGUAGCAGAAAAAUAAUCUUAUUUUAACUGGUAUUAACAGCCUGUAUCACUGAAUUAUCAAAUGGAGAAUGACUCACAGUAUCUUUGUGUCUUACAGGGAAUAUUACAUAAAUGUUUA